rnacentral:rRNA from 1 species
GAUGAACGCUGGCGGCGUGCUUAACACAUGCAAGUCGAACGAUGAAGCCCAGCUUGCUGGGUGGAUUAGUGGCGAACGGGUGAGUAACACGUGAGUAACCUGCCCUUAACUCUGGGAUAAGCCUGGGAAAUUGGGUCUAAUACCGGAUAGGAGCGUCCACCGCAUGGUGGGUGUUGGAAAGAUUUAUCGGUUUUGGAUGGACUCGCGGCCUAUCAGCUUGUUGGUGAGGUAAUGGCUCACCAAGGCGACGACGGGUAGCCGGCCUGAGAGGGUGACCGGCCACACUGGGACUGAGAAACGGCCCAGACUCCUACGGGAGGAAGCAGUGGGGAAUAUUGCAAAAUGGGCGCAAGCCUGAUGCAGCGACGCCGCGUGAGGGAUGAAGGCCUUCGGGGUGUAAACCUCUUUCAGUAGGGAAGAAGCGAAAGUGAAGGUACCUGCAGAAGAAGCACCGGCUAACUACGUG